rnacentral:lncRNA from 1 species
UGAAGAAAAAAUUUCAUUGAACUUGAUUGUUCAUUGGAUAAGAGAAAUUAAUAAUUAAUUGGAUGUUUAGUGGUCUUAAUCUCCCCCUUUCAAUGUGUGGAGAGCUCCAACAGUCCAACAAUGCUUCCACAAAAGCUGGUUUUCUCCUUUCUAAAAAUCAAAUUUUGUAGUCACAAAAAUGUCAUAUUUUCUCUAAAUAUUCAAAAUUAGGGCAACAAAACACACAUUUUAAGUCUAAGUAAAAACUCACUAUUUUUU